AUUGAACGCUGGCGGCAUGCCUAACACAUGCAAGUCGAACGGUAACAGUCAGAAGCUUGCUUCUUUGCUGACGGUAGGCGGUCGGGGGCGUAAUGUCUGGGACACUGUCAGACGGCGGGGGGUAACUACUGGAAAGGGUAGCUAAUACCGCAUAACGUGCCAAGACCAAAAUGACCGACUGUCGGGGCUCUUGCCUUCGGUCAUGUCGAGGUGGGGUUAGCUGGUAGGCGGGGUAACGGCUCACCUCGGCGACGAGCCGUAGCUGGUCUGAGAGGACGACCAGCCACACUGGAACUGAGACACGGUCCAGACUCCUACGGGAGGCAGCAGUGGGGAAUAUUGCACAAUGGGCGCAAGCCUGAUGCAGCCAUGCCGCGUGUAUGAAGAAGGCCUUCGGGUUGUAAAGUACUUUCAGCGGGGAGGAAGGGAGUAAAGUUAAUACCUGUGCUCAUUGACGUUACCCGCAGAAGAAGCACCGGCUAACUCCGUG
rnacentral:rRNA from 1 species